UGGGGAAUAUUGGACAAUGGGCGCAAGCCUGAUCCAGCCAUGCCGCGUGAGUGAUGAAGGCCCUAGGGUUGUAAAGCUCUUUUGUGCGGGAAGAUAAUGACGGUACCGCAAGAAUAAGCCCGGCUAACUUCGUGCC
rnacentral:rRNA from 1 species